rnacentral:rRNA from 1 species
AGUUUGAUCCUGGCUCAGGACGAACGCUGGCGGCGGGCUUAACACAUGCAAGUCGUACGAGGCCUUCGGGCCGAGUGGGGCANGGGUGCGUAACGCGUAGGCAACCUGCCCCAGAGUGGGGAAUAACCCCGGGAAACCGGGGCUAAUACCGCAUGUCGAGCGGGGGCGGCAUCGCCCCUGUUUGAAAGCCUUCGGGCGCUCUGGGAUGGGCCUGCGUUGGAUUAGCUUGUUGGUGCGGUAACGGCGCACCAAGGCGGCGAUCCAUAGCUGGUCUGAGAGGAUGAUCAGCCACACUGGCACUGAGACACGGGCCAGACUCCUACGGGAGGCAGCAGUGAGGAAUCUUGCGCAAUGGGGGCAACCCUGACGCAGCCACGCCGCGUGGAGGACGACACCCCUACGGGGCGUAAGCUCCUUUUCUGCGGGAAGAACGCCGGCCUCGGGCCGGGUUGACGGUACCGCAGGAAUAAGCACCGGCUAACUCCGUGCCACAGCCGCGGUAAUACGGAGGGUGCAAGCGUUGUCCGGAUUUAUUGGGUGUAAGGGUGUGUAGGCGGACUUGUAGUCAGGGGUGAAAGGCCGCGGCUCAACCGCGGGACUGCCUUUGAUACUGCAGGUCUUGAGUGUCGGAGGGGCCACUAAAAUUCGUGGUGUACGGUAAAUGCGUAAAUUCACAGAAUACCAAGGCGUAGGCGGGUGGCUGGACAACAACUUGAACNUUGAAGGCCACCGAAAGCUUGGGGAGCGAACAGGAUUUAGAUACCCUGUUAGUUCCACGCCGUGUAAACAGAUGGAACGCUCGUGUCGGCCCGUAUGGCUUCGGUGCCUAAGCGAACGCGAUAAGCGUCCCACCUGGGGAGUACCGCCCGCAAGGGGUGAAACUCAAAGGAAUUGACGGGGGCCCGCACAAAGCGGUGGAGCAUGUGGCUUAAUUCGAUGCAACGCGAAGAACCUUACCCGGGCUCGAACGCCAGAGGACAGCCCCUGAAAGGGGGUCUCCCGAAAGGGCCUCUGGCGAGGUGCUGCAUGGCUGUCGUCAGUUCGUGUCGUGAGAUGUUGGGUUAAGUCCCGCAACGAACGCAACCCCUACUCUUAGUUACCAGCGGGUCAGGCCGGGGACUCUAAGAGGACUGCCUGCGCAAGCAGUGAGGAAGGCGGGGACGACGUCAAGUCAUCAUGGCCCUUACGCCCGGGGCUGCACACGUGCUACAAUGGACGGUACAGAGGGACGCCACCCCGCGAGGGGGCGCCAAUCUUCAAAGCCGUUCUCAGUUCGGAUCGGAGUCUGCAACUCGACUCCGUGAAGCCGGAAUCGCUAGUAAUCGCGGAUCAGCUACGCCGCGGUGAAUACGUUCCCGGGCCUUGUACACACCGCCCGUCAAGCCAUGGAAGCCGGGGGCACCCGAAGUCCGUCGCCCGACCCGCAAGGGGGGGAGCGGCCGAAGGUGAACUCGGUGACUGGGGCUAAGUCGUACAAGGUAGNCCGUACCGGGAGAGGUGCGGCUGGAUCACCUCCUUA